AGCAGGGCCAGUAAUAAAUUCUUGUGUUCCUGUUCUUUCUUUCCAGUGAGAGACUCCUGAAACUUGUAAAAGAAGAAAGACAAAAUUCUCUUCCUGACAUAGGAGCUAUCUUUAGGGACAGAGGAACUGAGAGAAGAGAUGUAGGGAAAGCACAAAAAUUUUUUUCGAAUGGUCUUAUUUUCAGUUCUGUUACUUUUGAGCCAAAUCAAACUGCUUGAAAAUGCUAACCCACCCAUCCUUUUUUUUUUCCAUCUCUUUUUUAUCCCCAACCAAAACCUGUGUCAAUGGGGGAAGAAAUAGGGAGGAGAAACAGGUUUUACACAAAGAACAAUUCUAGCUCCAGUUUUCUUAUCUCAUUCUGAGCUGGACUAAUUCCAGUAGGUUUUUCACUGCAUUCUGAUGGCUGCCUGGACUCUGGGCCUGGCAGCACAGAAGGACAAAGCUCCCGGGGGACAGGUGGUAGAAGUCCUAAAGAUGUUCCAUACCAUCUCCAAAGAGGAAACUAAAGAUGUUCUGCACCAUCUCUUCCAGAGGACAUACAAAAGGAAGGCAUUCCUGCAGGUGCUGGACAUUCAACAAUAAACAAGACACAAGCACUCUCCCAAGAAGCUCUCGGAAGCUGUUUUUAAACCAAACAAGUCAAGAAGAGGUGAAAUUUAAGCUGAAAGAAGAGUGAUCACUCCCCAAGCUCUUCCCAUAACCUGUGAAUCUUAAGCUUCUGUCCUCCGUGAAACAUGACUUGAGAUUUUCAGGGAGCAUAACCUCUCUUCACACAUUGCAUAUUAAACACAGACGUGGCUUGUCAUUGUGUGGCACUGCCCCCAGACCCCUUUUGCUGAUGCUAUCUGUCUGAGAUGACCUCUCACACUAGGGGUUGGGAAAUAAGUAAUGGUGUUGGGGUGUGGUGAUUGUCUCUACAGGGGGCACACUCACAGCUCAUUUGCACAUCUAUCGCUGUGAAGGUGUCAGGAUGUGUUUGUGCUAAAUGUGCUCAUUCCUAUUUAUUAAUACCUACCAUUCCACUUCCCACCAUAAUUAUGCAAUCAUUCAUCAGUUCUUUCCUUCACAGUGAAAAUUAACAAAGCUCAAAACAGACUUGACUGGAUCCUAGACUGGAUAUAAUCUUUUCUAAAAGUUUAUAAAUAGAAAUAAUGACAAUCCUCUAGUCUAGCAUUGAAGAAAGCCUUUCUCAGAAGACAAGGCUUUCACUCACAGCUUCCUUAUCUUACCCCUUGCUCCUUCUGCAGGAUUUUUUACAUUCCCAUCAGUCUAUGUUGCUCCCUCUUUGUUGACCCUUCAUUAUUUCUGUCUUUGCAAUAGUAAAAGAAGAAAACUAAUAUAAAUGGCUCUCUUUGUAACUUCUACAUUCAGUACUUUUUAAAAAUGUAUAUGGAGCCAGGGAUUUAGCUCAGUGGUUCUGCC
rnacentral:lncRNA from 1 species